CUCUUAAAGGUAAAUACAAUGUCUUCAUACACCAUUGUAACUGAUGAAGGCUCAUCAAACGAAGAUCAGGAAAGUUCAUAUUCAGUAAAACCAGUUACACCAAAAACGAGUAAAAGAAAAAAUGAUGGUGAGUCAAAAGCUAGUAGUAGUAAAAAGACCAAGAUAUCGGAAAGCAAUCGGAAUCACAA